rnacentral:rRNA from 1 species
AAUUGAAGAGUUUGAUCAUGGCUCAGAUUGAACGUUGGCGGCAGGCCUAAUACAUGCAAGUCGAACGGUAACAGAUCGCUGUGAUCCCUUCGGGGUGAACUUGAUGCUGACGAGUGGCGAACGGGUGAGUAACGCGUAGGAAUCUACCCAGUAGCGGGGGAUAGCCCGAGGAAACUCGGAUUAAUACCGCAUACGCCCCAAGGGGGAAAGAGGGCCUCUUCUUGAAAGCUCUCACUAUUGGAGGANCCUGCGUUGGAUUAGCUAGUUGGUGGGGUAAAGGCUCACCAAGGCGACGAUCCAUAGCUGGUCUGAGAGGACGAUCAGCCACACUGGAACUGAGACACGGUCCAGACUCCUACGGGAGGCAGCAGUAGGGAAUAUUGCACAAUGGGGGAAACCCUGAUGCAGCCAUGCCGCGUGUGUGAAGAAGGCCNUAGGGUUGUAAAGCACUUUCAGUAGGGAGGAAUUAGUAUAGUUAAUAGCUAUGCGAAAUGACGUUACCUACAGAAGAAGUACCGGCUAACUCCGUGCCAGCAGCCGCGGUAAUACGGAGGGUACGAACGUUAAUCGGAAUUACUGGGCGUAAAGCGCGCGUAGGCGGU